UAAGGAAUAUUGGUCAAUGGAGGCAACUCUGAACCAGCCAUGCCGCGUGAAGGAUUAAGGCCCUCUGGGUUGUAAACUUCUUUUAUAUGGGAAGAAAUGUUCUGAUUCUUCAGAGCUUGACGGUACCAUAGGAGUAAGCACCGGCUAACUCCGUGCCAGCAGCCGCGGUAAUACGGAGGGUGCAAGCGUUAUCCGGAUUCACUGGGUUUAAAGGGUGCGUAGGUGGGCAGAUAAGUCAGUGGUGAAAUCUUCCGGCUUAACCGGAAAAUUGCCGUUGAUACUAUUUGUCUUGAAUAUUGUGGAGGUAAGCGGAAUAUGUCAUGUAGCGGUGAAAUGCUUAGAUUUGACAUAGAACACCAAUUGCGAAGGCAGCUUACUAUAUAAUUUUUGACACUGAGGCACGAAAGCGUGGGUAGCGAACA
rnacentral:rRNA from 1 species